rfam:Anopheles gambiae str. PEST whole genome shotgun sequencing project, whole genome shotgun sequence.
GGCUGCACGCGUGCUACAAUGUGAGCAGCAGCGUGUUCUCGCCUUAUGGCGCCCCCAUUCCGAGAGGAACGGGAAAUCACCCAAAUGCUCAUUUAGUAGGGAUUGGGGACUGCAAUGGUCCCCAUGAACCUGGAAUUUCUAGUAAGUGCUAGUCAUUAGCUAGCGCUGAUUACGUCCCUGCCCUUUGUACACACCGCCCGUCGCUACUACCGAUGGAUUAUUUAGUGAGGUCUCUGGAGGCACACCUUCCGCGAUUCCUUCGUGAGUUGCAGUUGGCACGGCCGAAGUUGACCGAACUUGAUGAUUUAGAGGAAGUAAAAGUCGUAACAAGGUUUCCGUAGGUGAACCUGCGGAAGGAUCAUUA